GACGAACGCUGGCGGCGUGCUUAACACAUGCAAGUCGAGCGGUAAGGCCCUUCGGGUACGACGAGCGGCGAACGGGUGAGUAACACGUGGGUGACCUGCCUCUAGCUCUGGGAUAAGCCUGGGAAACUGGGUCUAAUACCGGAUAUGACUCCACGGCGCAUGUUGUGGGGUGGAAAGCCUUGUGUGGCUAGAGAUGGGCCCGCGGCCUAUCAGCUUGUUGGUGGGGGAUGGCCUACCAAGGCGACGACGGGUAGCCGGCCUGAGAGGGCGACCGGCCACACUGGGACUGAGACACGGCCCAGACUCCUACGGGAGGCAGCAGUGGGGAAUCUUGCGCAAUGGGCGAAAGCCUGACGCAGCGACGCCGCGUGAGGGAUGACGCCU
rnacentral:rRNA from 1 species